rnacentral:rRNA from 1 species
GAUGAACGCUGGCGGCGUGCUUAACACAUGCAAGUCGAACGGAAAGGCCCAAGCUUGCUUGGGUACUCGAGUGGCGAACGGGUGAGUAACACGUGGGUGAUCUGCCCUGCACUUCGGGAUAAGCCUGGGAAACUGGGUCUAAUACCGGAUAGGACGAUGGUUUGGAUGCCAUUGUGGAGAGUUUUUUCGGUGUGGGAUGAGCUCGCGGCCUAUCAGCUUGUUGGUGGGGUAAUGGCCUACAAAGGCGUCGACGGGUAGCCGGCCUGAGAGUGUGUACGGCCACACUGGAACUGGGAUACGGGCCAGACUCCGAAGGGAUGCAGCAGUGGGGAAUGUUGCACAAUGGGCGCAAGCCUGAUGCAGCGACGCCGCGUGGGGGAUGAGGGCCUUCGGGUUGUAAGCUCCUUUCGCUAGGGACGAAGCGUUUUUGUGACGGUACCUGGAGAAGAAGCACCGGCUAACUACGUG